GAGAGCAGCAGUGCUCGUUGCCAGCACUGUGUAAUCACUGGGAGUGGCCUUUGGAUGUCAAGUCCCCUGUUGCUGCUUGCAGUGUUCCCACACUUACAAGCUGAGAGGAACAGAUUUAUGUCCUUGUUCAUCAACAGCUUGGAGAUACCAGGUCUUAGCAAGGCACAUCCAAAUCCCUCCAGAUGGUAUUUGGAUCUGCACCUCUCAUCUCCCGGGCAAAGGCUCUGAUCUGCACUUGAUCUGGAACAAUCACAACAGCCUUUGUGGAUACAUGCAAGCAUGGGACAUGAAAGUUACACUUUCUGUAGAGAAGUUCAAGGUUUAGUGGAUUAAAGGCAACCUCUCUUCCUGUCUAAUGUAGUUCUGGUGUU